UCCCGGGUCCGAGUUGUAAUUUGUAGAGGAUGUUUUGGGCACCGCCUCGGGUUAAAUUUCUUGGAACAGAAUGUCAAAGAGGGUGAGAGUCCCGUCUUGGCCCGCGGUAGGACCUAUGUAAAACUCCUUCGACGAGUCGACUUGUUUGGGAAUGCAGGUCAAAAUGGGUGGUAAAUUUCAUCUAAAGCUAAAUAUUGGCCAGAGACCGAUAGCGCACAAGUAGAGUGAUCGAAAGAUGAAAAGCACUUUGAAAAGAGAGUUAAACAGUAUGUGAAAUUGUUGAAAGGGAAGCGCUGGCAACCAGACUCGAGCGCGGUGCUCCCCUAGGCUUCUGCCUGGGCUACUUCACCGUGACCGGGCCAUCAUCAGUUUUGGGGGUCGGUCAAAGGCCCGGGGAAUGUAUCCUCCCCUCCGGGGGAGGACUUAUAGCCCCGGGCGUCAUGCGGCCUCCCGGGACUGAGGAACGCGCUUCGGCGAGGAUGAUGGCGUAAUGGUUGUCAGCGACCCGUCUUGAAACACGGACCAAGGAGUCUAACAUCUAUGCGAGUGUUCGGGUGUCAAACCCCUGCGCGGAAUGAAAGUGAACGGAGGUAGGAAGGCUUGAGCCUGCACUAUCGACCGAUCCUGAUGUCUUCGGAUGGAUUUUGAGUAAGAGCAUAGCUGUU
rnacentral:rRNA from 1 species